UGGGGAAUAUUGCACAAUGGGCGCAAGCCUGAUGCAGCCAUGCCGCGUGUAUGAAGAAGGCCUUCGGGUUGUAAAGUACUUUCAGUCGGGAGGAAGGUGGUAAGGUUAAUAACCUUAUCAAUUGACGUUACCGACAGAAGAAGCACCGGCUAACUCCGUGCCAGCAGCCGCGGUAAUACGGAGGGUGCAAGCGUUAAUCGGAAUUACUGGGCGUAAAGCGCACGCAGGCGGUUGAUUGAGUCAGAUGUGAAAUCCCCGGGCUUAACCCGGGAAUUGCAUCUGAUACUGGUCAGCUAGAGUCUUGUAGAGGGGGGUAGAAUUCCAUGUGUAGCGGUGAAAUGCGUAGAGAUGUGGAGGAAUCCCGGUGGCGAAGGCGGCCCCCUGGACAAAGACUGACGCUCAGGUGCGAAAGCGUGGGGAGCAAACAGG
rnacentral:rRNA from 1 species